CCUGGCUCAGAGUGAACGCUAGCGGCGUGGUUAAGACAUGCAAGUCGAACGAUGAAGCCCAGCUUGCUGGGCGGAUUAGUGGCAUACGGGUGCGUAACACGUGAGCAACCUGCCUUGAAGUGGGGAAUAGCCCGGGGAAACCCGGAUUAAUACCGCAUGUGGUCUCUUUUCGCAUGAAAAGACGACUAAAGUUUGUAAUGACUCUUCAAGAGGGGCUCGCGGCCUAUCAGCUUGUUGGUGAGGUAAAGGCUCACCAAGGCAAAGACGGGUAGCUGGUCUGAGAGGAUGAUCAGCCACACUGGAACUGAGAUACGGUCCAGACACCUACGGGUGGCAGCAGUUUCGAAUCAUUCACAAUGGGGGAAACCCUGAUGGUGCAACGCCGCGUGGAGGAUGACGGCCUUCGGGUUGUAAACUCCUGUCACCAAGGAACAAACGGCAGGUUCAUAGCCUGUCCUGAGUUAACUUGGAGAGGAAGAGGUGGCUAACUCCGUGCCAGCAGCCGCGGUAAUACGGAGACCUCGAGCGUUACUCGGAUUCACUGGGCGUAAAGAGUAUGUAGGCGGUUUGGUAUGUCAGGUGUGAAAGCCCGAAGCUCAACUUCGGAAUUGCGCCUGAAACUACCGGACUUGAGGCCUGGAGAGGGGAGUGGAAUUCCUGGUGUAGCGGUGAAAUGCGUAGAUAUCAGGAGGAACACCAAUGGCGAAGGCAGCUCCCUGGACAGGUUCUGACGCUGAGAUACGAAAGCGUGGGUAGCGAAAGGGAUUAGAUACCCCUGUAGUCCACGCCGUAAACGUUGUACACUAGGUUUCGGAGGGCCUACCCCUUCGGAGCUCAAGCUAACGCGAUAAGUGUACCGCCUGAGGACUACGGCCGCAAGGCUAAAACUCAAAGGAAUUGACGGGGGCCCGCACAAGCGGUGGAGCAUGUUGGCUUAAUUCGAUGCAACGCGAAGAACCUUUACCU
rnacentral:rRNA from 1 species